rnacentral:rRNA from 1 species
AGUGAACGCUGGCGGUAGGCCUAACACAUGCAAGUCGAACGGCAGCACAGUAAGAGCUUGCUCUUACGGGUGGCGAGUGGCGGACGGUUGAGGAAUACAUCGGAAUCUACUUUUUCGUGGGGGAUAACGUAGGGAAACUUACGCUAAUACCGCAUACGACCUACGUGUGAAAGCAGGGGAUCUUCGGACCUUGCGCGAUUGAAUGAGCCGAUGUCGGAUUAGCUAGUUGGCGGGGUAAAGGCCCACCAAGGCGACGAUCCGUAGCUGGUCUGAGAGGAUGAUCAGCCACAAUGGAACUGAGACACGGUCCAGACUCCUACGGGAGGCAGCAGUGGGGAAUAUUGGACAAUGGGCGCAAGCCUGAUCCAGCCAUACCGCGUGGGUGAAGAAGGCCUUCGGGUUGUAAAGCACUUUUGUUGGGAAAGAAAAGCAGCAGGUUAAUACCCCGCUGUUCUGACGGUACCCAAAGAAUAAGCACCGGCUAACUUCGUG